CGUCUUCAACGGCGGCGGCGGUGGCUUCUGGGGAUGGAGGACCUUGGGGAGAGGUCGGAACCGGGACAGACGGACGUACUCGGGAACCCGCGAUGGACGCGCCCAAUGCUCCCCCUGCGGGGGACGCUUAGCUAGGCACUCCCGGCUAGGAAUGAUGGCGUCGCGGGGAUCAGGAAGAACAGAUUUCUGUGGAAACAAGGGCAGAGCUGAGGGAUCCGGGCGUGGCCUGAUAUCACCGCGCGACCUCAGCGAACAGGAAGAGCUGGAGGAUGCGGGCGCAGCCUGAGGACGUCAUGGCGGGACCACAGGAAACAGGCCGAGUCACAGAACCGGACUUGGGUAACUGGAGCCGUUGCGGCUUGAGGACGUCACAGCCGCUGCGACAAGGCCACGGGGAACCGUAUGAAACCUGAGCGGACCGAUGCGGCGCGGCGUGAUGGUGUCACGAAGCGCUACAAUGACACCACGACCCGGACACCAUUAAAGACUGACGCGCUCCGGGCACCGGCGCCCCGCGAUGGUGUCACCGGGAGCGACGGAAUAGCGGCGGUCCUGAAGGACUUGGGCAGCGGCUUUCAAAGUGGUGAUCCGGAUUCUUGAUAAUGGCGUCACGGAUUCUUGAUAAUGGCGUCACAGUUGCAGCGAUGGAGGGGACCAGAAGCAGACGUGCAGUGACGUCUUCUGAGGCUUUUCCGACAGCCUGGCAGAAGUGUAUGUUAUUGAUGCGCAGUGGCGGUGCUUUGUGAUCCAGCGCGUGUCAGGACGGGACAGAGGCUGUCUCACUACCUGUCAUCUCCCUGCCUUGACUUUCUGACCUGUCACAGGGAUAGGAAGUAACCUCGGUCCGUUGUGAUUACGUCAUUAACCCCGCCCUCAGUGUGGACCCUAAAUGGCAGGUGAGGGGUUGGGCUUUCAGGGUCACUGGCAGGAGUGGGUGUGGCCUGGCCAUAGCGUCAUCGCCUAAGGGGUUCAAGGCUGAGGUCACAGGGGGCCCCUCCACCUUCCCCCUUAACGAUGUUACUUCCUAUUCUCACAGAUUCCCGGAUUACUGUACUCCAUGGUGCCCCAUGUCUACUGGGGAGGGGCAUUGAUUCUAGCACAGCCACACCUGUGGGCUCUUUGGAAUGAACCUGAGAUAAGUUCUCCUAUCUCUGGCUGCCUCCGGUGACCUUGACCCCAGACUUUUGCUUCCUAGGUCAAUACCUUGCUGACCUUUUUAUUAAACUAACCACAUCCUUAAAUUAAAUGGCGGUGUUGCCACUCAGUCACCCACCCAGCCACUGACACAUGGGGUCUAUGGGUUCUGUGUGUCUGGUUUCGUGCUGGUCUUUGAUGCACAUGGACUUGGAGGACAUGGAGCUAUUUUGCCAUCUGACUUGCAACUAUCUAAUCAGCACCAUUUGUUGACGAUGCACUCGGGUAUGGAAGACACCUCAAAUUAAAAGAUGGGCCUACCUCGGGGACCUCAAUUGCGCAAGAUUGUUUAGUUACCCUGGCCUUUUGUUUGGUUUUGUUUUUCCCUGUGUGAUUGAGUAUUGCAAUGUCUGUAAGUUUGUGUUGGAAUUUCCGCAGGGAUUGUUUUAAAUCUGAUGGCAGCUCGGAGACUGUGCUUUUAUUAUGUUAGGUCUACACAUUCUUUAGCGUGACAGGUCUUUCAGUCUUCUAACAUCGUAUUCAGUUUCUUUCCCCUAACACUGGCGUCCUUGUCAUGCGAGGCAGUCGCUGGCUUUUCAGUUUCUCCUGCGUAUAGUACACGAGGCUAGCGAGCCGUGUUUUGUCUCCCUACUCUCAGUCCCUUUCUUGUCUGUGUAUAGGAAGGUCAUGGGUUUGUUUAUUUUCUGUUGGUUGUGUACACAGCAACUUUGCUCACAGUGUUCAUCUGCUGCAAGAGCAGCCUGUGGGGUUUUUUGACUGACUUGUGUGCAAUCACAUCACCUAAAAUAAAAAUGACUUCUUCCUUUGUGGUUUUUA